GACGAACGCUGGCGGCGUGCUUAACACAUGCAAGUCGAACGGAAAGGCCCUGCUUUUGUGGGGUGCUCGAGUGGCGAACGGGUGAGUAACACGUGAGUAACCUGCCCUUGACUUUGGGAUAACUUCAGGAAACUGGGGCUAAUACCGGAUAGGAGCUCCUGCUGCAUGGUGGGGGUUGGAAAGUUUCGGCGGUUGGGGAUGGACUCGCGGCUUAUCAGCUUGUUGGUGGGGUAGUGGCUUACCAAGGCUUUGACGGGUAGCCGGCCCGGGAGGGUGACCGGCCACAUUGGGGCUGGGAUACGGCCCAGACUCCUACGGGAGGCAGCAGGGGGGAAUAUUGCAAAAAUGGGCGGAAGCCUGAUGCAGCAACGCCGCGUGCGGGAUGACGGCCUUCGGGUUGUAAACCGCUUUCGCCUGUGACGAAGCGUGAGUGACGGUAAUGGGUAAAGAAGCACCGGCUAACUACGUG
rnacentral:rRNA from 1 species